GAUGGCUUUCCGAUAUCUGCUCCCUCUGAAAACAAAACUAAAUCUGUUAGAUCUCAAAAGUCAGAUGGAACUAAAGAUCAGGAUACAGGUGAGGAAGCAGGUGAGAAGAAAGGCUUAAAAAAGAGACUUCGUGAUGAUACUGGCAAAGACAAUGAUCAGCAAGGAAAAGACAACGCUAAGCAAAAUAAAAAGAAUAAGAAGAAAAAGGUAGUGGAUGGGGAGGAAUUGGAUCAUGAGGAUGUUUUAAAGAGAAGUGCCAAUCCAGAGCAUGUAGAGGGCAAUGAUGAGGCAUUUUCAGUAGGUAAAACUGAAGAUGGUCAGAAACCAACUAAUGAGAAGGAUACAGAGAAAAAGAAGAAAAAGAAAAAGAAGAAG
rnacentral:misc_RNA from 1 species